UUUACAAAUAUCAGAAAAGCCGAUUCAGGCAGAUACAUCUGUCAGGUGAUUGCGGAGAUUCCAGUUUAUACAGAUGUCAGAGGAAACGGUACUGUCAUCACCGUUAUGAACAGAGAGAAGACAGGUGACACCCCAGCAGGUGGUAAGUGAUUAAACAGACACAUGAAGUAUUGCAGUGACAAUGGCUAAGUGACCAACAUGGCAAUAACCAUGUAAAUGUACAUCCCAGUUGUGUUUGUGUUUUAUUCUCCCAACAUGCUGAUGGAUCUCCAGGUUUUCUUCUCUUCAUGAUAAUUGCUGUGGCUUUAGUGGUUUCAUUACUCCUCAUCACUCUCGUAUGUUACUGCACUCUACGAAGGAAACGAGCACAAGCAGUCAGGGUGAUCUAUGAGGUCCCCCACACUGACUCUGUGGAAGCAGAGACGGACAAACACAGCACCAGCUCCUCGAGAGGCUCUACUCAGUGGUGUCAGGUACCAGUGUACGAAUCCUUCAAUUACUUUCAGCAUGGAGACCCUGAAAAGUGAAUGGGGACCUGCUCGAACAUUUCUUCAUCUUCUAGUAUUUUCUAAUUGUAAUUUUCCUCAUGUAUAUAGUGUACAUUCUUUUACUUACAUUAACCUG